rnacentral:rRNA from 1 species
UGCAAGUCGAGGGGCAGCGGGAGUGCUUGCACUCGCCGGCGACCGGCGCACGGGUGCGGAACGCGUAUGGAAUCUACCUCUUUCUGGGGAAUAGCCCAUGGAAACGUGGAUUAAUACCCCAUAGUAUUCAGAGAUCGCAUGAUCUCUGUCUUAAAGCUUUGGCGGAAAGAGAUGACCAUGCGUAUCAUUAGCUAGUAGGCGAGGUAACGGCUCACCUAGGCAACGAUGAUUAGGGGUCCUGAGAGGGAGAUCCCCCACACUGGUACUGAGACACGGACCAGACUCCUACGGGAGGCAGCAGUGAGGAAUAUUGGACAAUGGUCGAAAGACUGAUCCAGCCAUGCCGCGUGCAGGAUGAAUGCCCUAUGGGUUGUAAACUGCUUUUAUACGGGAAGAACACCACCCACGUGUGGGUGACUGACGGUACCGUAAGAAUAAGGACCGGCUAACUCCGUGCCAGCAGCCGCGGUAAUACGGAGGGUCCAAGCGUUAUCCGGAAUCAUUGGGUUUAAAGGGUCCGUAGGCGGGCUAUUAAGUCAGAGGUGAAAGUUUGCAGCUCAACUGUAAAAUUGCCUUUGAUACUGGUAGUCUUGAGUUAUAGUGAAGUGGUUAGAAUAUGUGGUGUAGCGGUGAAAUGCAUAGAUAUCACAUAGAAUACCAAUUGCGAAGGCAGAUCACUAACUAUAUACUGACGCUGAUGGACGAAAGCGUGGGGAGCGAACGGGAUUAGAUACCCUGGUAGAAGGGC